rnacentral:rRNA from 1 species
UACGGAGGGGGCGAGCGUUGUUCGGAAUCAUUGGGCGUAAAGGGCGCGUAGGCGGCCGUCCAAGUCGGGUGUGAAAUCCCUCGGCUCAACCGAGGAACUGCACUCGAUACUGGUCGGCUAGAGUCCGGGAGGGGAUGGUGGAAUUCCCAGUGUAGCGGUGAAAUGCGUAGAUAUCAGGAAGAACACCCGUGGCGAAGGCGGCUCUCUGGGACGGUACUGACGCUGAGACGCGAAAGCGUGGGGAGCGAACAGG